rfam:Glycine soja cultivar W05 scaffold669_21, whole genome shotgun sequence.
GACCCGAAAGAUGAUGAAUUAUGCCUAAGCAGGGUGAAGCUAGAGGAAACUCUGGUGGAGUCCUGCAGCGAUACUGACGUGUAAAUCAUUCAUAUGACUUGGGUAUAAGGGCGAAAAAGUAAUCGAACCAUUUAGUAAUUGG